rnacentral:misc_RNA from 1 species
CCGAGUUAUCAACUCCCAAACCCCUGUGAACAUACCUUUUGUUGCCUCGGCGGGAUCGCCCCGGCGCCUCCGGGCCCGGAUCCAGGCGCCCGCCGCAGGACCCUAAACUCUUGUUUUCUAUAUGAAUCUUCUGAGUGACACAAGCAAAUAAAUUA